AGCCGGCGGACGAGUCCCAAAUAGGACGAAAUGCGCAUCCUGGAU
rnacentral:hammerhead_ribozyme from 1 species